rnacentral:rRNA from 1 species
ACGUAGGUGGCAAGCGUUGUCCGGAAUUAUUGGGUGUAAAGCGCGCGCAGGCGGUUAUAUAAGUCUGAUUUUAAGGUUCGGGGCUCAACCCCGUGAUGGAUUGGAAACUGUAUGACUUGAGUACAGUAGAGGUAGGCGGAAUUCCCAGUGUAGCGGUGAAAUGCGUAGAUAUUGGGAGGAACAGCAGUGGCGAAGGCGGCUUACUGGGCUGUAACUGCCUCUGAGGCGCGAAAGCUAGGGUAGCAAACGG